AAUAGUAGGCGAAAACAAAGAAAUGAUGCGAAAUUUUGUUGAAAUAUUGUAAAUUUAAUCAAUUUUGUGUGUUUUGAGAAAGUUAUGUCGUGAUUUGUGAAAUAAUAUUGAAAGCGUCAGUGUUACGGUGACUAUUCGGUCGAUAAAAUUUGGAAAUUUGCAAAUAAGGGGGAGAAAUAGCUUCCGGUCAACAAGUUGGGUGUUUUAGAUUCCAUGAUGUAUCCAAAGCCAACACAAGACAACCUGUCUGUCAAAUGCAAGAAAUAGUGCAUUGCUCUGUUCAUCCUGCAUCGAAUCAGAACCUUUUCGUCUGAACAAUUAUCUUCAAAUGACAUGGCUGACACGACAAGUCAUCACAAGAUUUUGGGGAAGUCAUUUCCCAUACUAUCAUCAACGACAACCUAUUUAAGAAGGUAAAGGAUGAAAAACCACGAAAGAAGGUACAUCAUUUCACGAUUUGCAGAUGUGUGUCAUUAUUUGCAAAUUUUCAAAUUUUCAAACACACUUAGACAUACACCAUCCAACCAACCAACCGAGUGCCACAAAUAGAUAAGACGCGGAUGCGAAAAAAACAUCAAGCUGAAGAUAAACAAACUUUCAGGAUUCAUGAUGUUAUUGCCCUAAAGUGAGAUGCCAGCGACUCAACUGUAAAUAUCAAAGACAUGUAAAAGACAUCAAGAGGAUAGUACUACUAUAUUUUCAAACUCAAACAACUUUAUG